rnacentral:rRNA from 1 species
UACGUAGGGUGCGAGCGUUGUCCGGAAUUAUUGGGCGUAAAGGGCGCGUAGGUGGCGCGAGGAGUCAACGGUGAAAGCUCGGCGCUCAACGCCGAGUCGGCCGUCGAUACUCUCGUGCUUGAGCACUGUAGAGGCAGAUGGAAUUCCGGGUGUAGCGGUGGAAUGCGUAGAGAUCCGGAAGAACACCGGUGGCGAAGGCGGUCUGCUGG